AGUGAACGCUGGCGGCAGGCCUAAUACAUGCAAGUCGAACGGCAGCACAGCAGAGCUUGCUCUGUGGGUGGCGAGUGGCGGACGGGUGAGGAAUACGUGGGAAUCUGCCCAGUCGUGGGGGAUAACGUAGGGAAACUUACGCUAAUACCGCAUGCGCCCUUCGGGGGAAAGCCGGGGACCUUCGGGCCUGGCGCGAUUGGAUGAGCCCACGUCGGAUUAGCUAGUUGGCGGGUAAAGGCCCACCAAGGCGACGAUCCGUAGCUGGUCUGAGAGGAUGAUCAGCCACACUGGAACUGAGACACGGUCCAGACUCCUACGGGAGGCAGCAGUAGGGAAUAUUGGACAAUGGGCGCAAGCCUGAUCCAGCCAUGCCGCGUGAGUGAAGAAGGCCCUCGGGUUGUAAAGCUCUUUUGUCCGGAAAGAAAAGCGCCGGGUUAAUACCCUGGUGUCCUGACGGUACCGAAGAAUAAGCACCGGCUAACUUCGUGCCAGCAGCCGCGGUAA
rnacentral:rRNA from 1 species